rnacentral:rRNA from 1 species
GACGAACGCUGGCGGCGUGCCUAACACAUGCAAGUCGAACGAGGUCCAAGGAAGCUUGCUUCCUGACGACCUAGUGGCGAACGGGUGAGUAACACGUGAGAAACCUGCCUCGGAGUGGGGAAUAACUCGGGGAAACUCGAGCUAAUACCGCAUGUCUUCACAUGAUCGCAUGGUCGAGUGAAGAAAGAAUUUCGCUCUGAGAGGGUCUCGCGGCCUAUCAGCUUGUUGGUGGGGUAACGGCCCACCAAGGCAACGACGGGUAGCUGGUUUGAGAGAACGAUCAGCCACACUGGGACUGAGACACGGCCCAGACUCCUACGGGAGGCAGCAGUGGGGAAUCUUGCGCAAUGGGCGAAAGCCUGACGCAGCAACGCCGCGUGCGGGAUGACGGCCUUCGUGGUUGUAAACCGCUUUCAGCAGGGACGAAAAUGACGGUACCUGCAGAAGAAGCCCCGGCUAACUACGUGCCAGCAGCCGCCGUAAGAC